AUUUUCCGGUUGAUCCUGCCGGACCCGACUGCUAUCAGAGUGAGAUUAAGCCAUGCGAGUCAACGUAGCAAUACGUGGCACACGGCUCAGUAAUACGUAGUCAACAUAACCAAAGGACGUGGAUAAACUCGGGAAACUGAGGCUAAACCGCGAUAGACCAAGAUACCUGGAAUGGUUUUUGAUCAAAAUCUAUAUGGCCUUUGGAUUGGACUGCGACCGAUCAGGCUGUUGGUGAGGUAAUGGCCCACCAAACCUGUAACCGGUACGGGCUCUGAGAGGAGGAGCCCGGAGAUGGGUACUGAGAAAAGGACCCAGGCCUUAUGGGGCGCAGCAGGCGCGAAACCUCUGCAAUAGGCGAAAGCCUGACAGGGUUAUUCUGAGUGACUUUCGCUAAGAAAGUCUUUUGACAUCUCUAAAAAUGGUGUAGAAUAAGGGGUGGGCAAGUCUGGUGUCAGCCGCCGCGGUAAUACCAGCACCCCGAGUGGUCGGGACGAUUAUUGGGCCUAAGGCAUCCGUAGCCGGUUUUACAAGUCCUCCGUUAAAUCCAACUGCUUAACAGAUGGGCCGCGGAGGAUACUAUAAGACUAGGAGGCAGGAGAGGCAAGCGGUACUCAGUGGGUAGGGGUAAAAUCCGUUGAUCCAUUGAAGACCACCAGUGGCGAAGGCGGCUUGCCAGAAUGCGCUCGACGGUGAGGGAUGAAAGCUGGGGGGAGCAAACCGGAUUAGAUACCCGGGUAGUCCCAGCUGUAAACGAUGCAGACUCGGUGAUGGACUAGCUUAAUGCUAGUCCAGUGCCGCAGGGAAGCCGUUAAGUCUGCCGCCCGGGUAGUACGGUCGCAAGACUGAAACUUAAAGGAAUUGGCGGGAAUC
rnacentral:rRNA from 1 species